rnacentral:rRNA from 1 species
CAGCAGCGCGGGAAUACGAAGGGUGCAAGCGUUAAUCGGAAUUACUGGGCGUAAAGCGCGCGUAGGUGGUUUGGUAAGAUGGAUGUGAAAUCCCCGGGCUCAACCUGGGAACUGCAUCCAUAACUGCCUGACUAGAGUACGUUAGAGGGUGGUGGAAUUUCCUGUGUAGCGGUGAAAUGCGUAGAUAUAGGAAGGAACACCAGUGGCGAAGGCGACCACCUGGACUGAUACUGACACUGAGGUGCGAAAGCGUGGGGAGCAAACAGGAUUAGAUACCCGAGUAGUCCCUGUCUCUUAUACA